rnacentral:rRNA from 1 species
CGUCGUCGCGCCACGCGCACGGGUGAGUAACACGUAUGCAACCUGCCCGUGGCAGGGGGAUAAGCGGGGGAAACCCCGUCUAAUACCGCGUAACGCGGCCUAGGGACAUCCCAAGGCCGCCAAAGGGAGCAAUCCCGGCCACGGAUGGGCAUGCGGCGCAUUAGCUAGUCGGCGGGGUAACGGCCCACCGAGGCGACGAUGCGUAGGGGUUCUGAGAGGAAGGCCCCCCACACUGGUACUGAGACACGGACCAGACUCCUACGGGAGGCAGCAG